rnacentral:rRNA from 1 species
GACGAACGCUGGCGGCGUGCUUAACACAUGCAAGUCGAACGGAAAGACCCUGCUUUUGUGGGGUGCUCGAGUGGCGAACGGGUGAGUAACACGUGAGUAACCUGCCCUUGACUUUGGGAUAACUUCAGGAAACUGGGGCUAAUACCGGAUAGGAGCUCCUGCUGCAUGGUGGGGGUUGGAAAGUUUCGGCGGUUGGGGAUGGACUCGCGGCUUAUCAGCUUGUUGGUGGGGUAGUGGCUUACCAAGGCUUUGACGGGUAGCCGGCCUGAGAGGGUGACCGGCCACAUUGGGACUGAGAUACGGCCCAGACUCGUACGGGAGGCAGCAGUGGGGAAUAUUGCACAAUGGGCGGAAGCCUGAUGCAGCAACGCCGCGUGCGGGAUGACGGCCUUCGGGUUGUAAACCGCUUUCGCCUGUGACGAAGCGUGAGUGACGGUAAUGGGUAAAGAAGCACCGGCUAACUACGUG